rnacentral:antisense_RNA from 1 species
AUAGAGCAACAAACUCUAUACAGUUUUAGUGGGCCCCGUUAGUCUUCUCAUCCCGGCAAGUUUGAGGAAGAUUAUCGGGGUUUUUGCUU